rnacentral:rRNA from 1 species
GAUGAACGCUGGCGGCGUGCCUAAUACAUGCAAGUCGAGCGAACAGACGAGGAGCUUGCUCCUCUGACGUUAGCGGCGGACGGGUGAGUAACACGUGGAUAACCUACCUAUAAGACUGGGAUAACUUCGGGAAACCGGAGCUAAUACCGGAUAAUAUAUUGAACCGCAUGGUUCAAUAGUGAAAGACGGUUUUGCUGUCACUUAUAGAUGGAUCCGCGCCGCAUUAGCUAGUUGGUAAGGUAACGGCUUACCAAGGCAACGAUGCGUAGCCGACCUGAGAGGGUGAUCAGCCACACUGGAACUGAGACACGGUCCAGACUCCUACGGGAGGCAGCAGUAGGGAAUCUUCCGCAAUGGGCGAAAGCCUGGCGGAGCAACGCCGCGUGAGUGAUGAAGGUCUUCGGAUCGUAAAACUCUGUUAUUAGGGAAGAACAAAUGUGUAAGUAACUAUGCACGUCUUGACGGUACCUAAUCAGAAAGCCACGGCUAACUACGUG